rnacentral:rRNA from 1 species
AACAGGAUUAGAUACCCUGGUAGUCCACGCCGUAAACGAUGUCGACUAGCCGUUGGGUCCUUCGCGGACUUUGUGGCGCAGUUAACGCGAUAAGUCGACCGCCUGGGGAGUACGGCCGCAAGGUUAAAACUCAAAUGAAUUGACGGGGGCCCGCACAAGCGGUGGAGCAUGUGGUUUAAUUCGAUGCAACGCGUAGAACCUUACCUACCCUUGACAUCCUGCGAACCCUUCGGAGACGAAGGGGUGCCUUCGGGAACGCAGAGACAGGUGCUGCAUGGCUGUCGUCAGCUCGUGUUGUGAAAUGUUGGGUUAAGUCCCGUAACGAGCGCAACCCUUGUCCCUAUUUGCCAGCGAUUCGGUCGGGAACUCUAGGGAGACUGCCGGUGACAAACCGGAGGAAGGUGGGGACGACGUCAAGUCAUCAUGGCCCUUACGGGUAGGGCUACACACGUGCUACAAUGGUCAGUACAAAGGGUUGCGAACUUGCGAGAGUGAGCCAAUCCCAGAAAGCUGAUCUCAGUCCGGAUCGGAGUCUGCAACUCGACUCCGUGAAGUCGGAAUCGCUAGUAAUCGUGAAUCAGAAUGUCACGGUGAAUACGUUCCCGGGCCUUGUACACACCGCCCGUCACACCAUGGGAGUGGACUGCACCAGAAGUGGUUAGCCUAACCUUCGGGAGGGCGAUCACCACGGUGUGGUUCAUGACUGGGGUGAAGUCGUAACAAGGUAACC